UGACCUCAGAUCAGGCAAGGCUACCCGCUGAAUUUAAGCAUAUUAAUAAGCUGAGGAAAAGAAACUAACAAGGAUUCCCCUAGUAAUGGCGAAUGAAGCGGGAACAGCUCAAAUUUAAAAUCUCCGUUGCUUGCAACGGCGAAUUGUAGUUUCGAGAAGCACUUUCUCGGCGGAUCCGAGGUCGUCCAAGUUGCUUGGAACAGCACGUCGUAGAGGGUGAAAACCCCGUCUGCGGCGACCUCAGCCGUUCACGAUGUGCUUUCGACGAGUCGGGUUGUUUGUGAAUGCAGCCCAAAAUGGGUGGUAAACUCCAUCUAAAGCUAAAUAUUGGCACGAGACCGAUAGCGAACAAGUACCGUGAGGGAAAGAUGAAAAGCACUUUGAAAAGAGAGUUAAAAAGUACGUGAAACCGUUAAAAGGGAAACGAAUGGGGUUAGCAAUGCGUCGUGCGAGAUUCAGCCGGUGGGUGGGCCAGGCGGGCGGUUGGCGGAUCUGAAUGGACCGCUGCCGUUCGGGUUGGUUUCCCGACCGUCGCACUUCUCGCAGGCGCGCGCCAAGGUCGGUUAGGGCUGGGUCUCAAAGGCGGUGGAAAGGUAGGUUUGGACUCUCGGGCCCGAACUGUUACAGUCCUCCGUUUGUCAUGGCCCGGACCUGACCGAGGAGCUUGCGGUGCAUGCCGUUCGGCUAGGGUCCCGUCUUCCCGGUCGGUCGUCGAAU
rnacentral:ncRNA from 1 species